GGCUGCAGCGGUCGCGGGCGGUGCCGGGUCCUGCUGCGGCCUGGGCGCCGGUUCGGGGCUGGCUGCAGGCGC
rnacentral:tRNA from 1 species